rnacentral:lncRNA from 1 species
AUGCUAAGUGGCCUCCAGAGGAUGCCUCCUGGGCUUCCAAGGGUCAGCUGGGGUUAAGCCACCAUAAGACCAGCUACAGAUGGCCCUGGGAUCAUAGCUGGGCAGUGCUCUCCUGCCUGGAAGAGGUGUAGGGUCCCACUGCACUAAUGUUCUAACAUAGUCCAUGUGUUUAGGAGAUUGUGAGCACAUCUCCUGUAGUGAAUGUAUAAGUGACUGUGUUGGAUCAGGCUGUUCGGCCUGGAUCCUAGACCUCAAGAUAAACAGACCGGACAGCAUGAUCCAGCUUUAUCUUAAGGUUCAAAUGUUGUUACAUGACAGUAAACUUUCAGAUGAUGAAGACACAUCUAGAGCAAAUUUAUUUCGUGAUGCAGAAGGGAAGAAGUUAAAAACGUGGUUUACUCUUCUGAGUCAGAUAGGUUGUGAAUAAAGUGUCAGCACAAACCCAGCCUCAAAAACAAAAAGAUGACAAAGCCCAGCAAUCCUUAAUGUGUGACUUUGUUUCCACAAGUCCUCCUGAAGUUGUUUCUAAGAGGGCUGAAACAGCUUCUAGAACAUCUGAGAAAAAGAAAAAGAAAAGAAAGAAAGAGAGAAAAGGAGAAAGAAAGAGAGAGAGAGAAAGAAAGAAAGAAAGAAAGAAAGAAAGAAAGAAAGAAAAAGUACCAGAAGAAGUCUUUAGCUGAGAUCAGCAAGGAGUGGAACUUAAGGCCAGAAACAGAAAAUAGUAGAUUUGAUUUCAAAGAGGAACCAAAGGAGAGGUUUGAUUCCUUUUGUAGCUGAUGGUCAGUUAUGGAAAGUCUACAGGUAAAUGGUGGAAUAGACUUAUUAGCAAGUGGCACUGUCACAGAAUCAGAAUGUUCUGGAAGCUUGACUGAAUUCUCUUUACCAUCGGCUGAGCAUAUAAUCUCUUGACAGUGCGAACAAGAGUGAAGAGAUGCCUGAAAAGAAGGUCUGGGUAAAAGAUCUUUGUUUCAGUAGGGUGGAAUGGAAAUUACAAGGUUGCAGCAGGCCUCCUGAUCCUGCAUCUAAAAGCAACAUUCCAAGGACGUGCAGAGGUUUAGCAAAGCAAACAGUCCUUGCAGAAAACAGACUCUUCUUCACUGCCUUCAGGCCAACUGUUGCAACAAGAGUCAAGGUCCUCAGUAGAUAGCCCAAGAGCAACAAUGAUGUGCCUCAGCCCAUCAACAAAGUUGCGUACCUCACUAAGCCUGAUUCUCAUCAACACUUCUGUACACAAUACACCAUCAAUGGAGAAGAUCUGUUUAAUUGUCACCCAGAAAGGGUCCUUCAGGGCAAAGUCUUGAUGGCUCCUUCAACCUGACUUGUCAGCUGUGCAGUGGACUUUGAAUUGCUUCCCCUCAACAGAUGA